UCAAAGACCAGGUAUACCCCACGUGGGGU
rnacentral:sRNA from 1 species